GGGGGUGAAAGGUCUCGACAGGGGUCUUGACGUUCGGACGGAUGCAUGCCGGGCUUACUCUGAGCGGCUCGUUAAAAAGCUUGGGGAAACACAAUUGCCAACUCUAACGAAUUGGCUCUCGCUGCCUAAUUAACCUUAGCCAGUGAGCGUCUCGCCGCAAGUCGCUCAAGCGCGCGGAGUGAGAUGUCACUCAGUUGAGCUGGCUCGCCGCUUCGGUCUGUGGGCGGCGGGCGAGAUAAAGCGGGCUAGCCGGUCGCGGGGUCUUCGUCGCUUCACUUACCCGCAGCCAGCGAACGCGCCGGAGAGAGACCGGCAACAGAGAAGCGUCUAAGCGUGUAGAUUCCGGCGGGCGCGACCUUUGGACCCGAGUUCGACUCUCGGCACCUCCAUCG
rnacentral:tmRNA from 1 species